AUUGAACGCUGGCGGCAGGCCUAACACAUGCAAGUCGAGCGAGCGGCGGACGGGUGAGUAAUGUAUGGGGACUGCCCGAUAGAGGGGGAUAACUACUGGAAACGGUAGCUAAUACCGCAUACUAUCGGAUAACCCAUAUGGGAUUAGCUAGUAGGUGAGGUAAUGGCUCACCUAGGCGACGAUCCCUAGCUGGUCUGAGAGGAUGAUCAGCCACACUGGGGCGGAGACACGGACCAGACUCCUACGGAGGGAGCAGGGGGGAAUAUUGCGCAGUGGGGGCGAGCCUGAUGCAGCGAUGCCGCGUGUAUGAAGAAGGCCCUAGGGUUGUAAAGUACGUUCAGUCGGGAGGCGUUACCGACAGAAGAAGCACCGGCUAACUCCGUGCCAGCAGCCGCGGUAAUAC
rnacentral:rRNA from 1 species